rnacentral:misc_RNA from 1 species
CGUUCACUCUUUUUAUACAACCUGUAGUUUCUUGCUGCUUCAAGAUAUCUAUCUUGCCUGAAAAAUUAUUUUGCAGCCAUGGAUUUUAAGAACUGUAGUCCAUGGUUCAAGCUUUCUGUUCUUUUCAUGUUCUUUUCUCUCAAGUUCCAUCUGUCACUUGCUGCUGAUAGAAUCACUGCAACUCAACCUCUCUCCGGUGACCAGACCAUUGUCUCAGCAAAAAGUUUUUUUGAAUUGGGUUUCCACCGUCCAGGUAACCUCUCAAACUAUUACAUAUGCAUGUGGUACCAUCAAU